rnacentral:misc_RNA from 1 species
CGGAAUGUUUUCAACAAGAUGCCUUGCAAGAAUGUCAUCUCCUGGAAUGCCUUGAUUGCUGGAUAUGGUAAUCAUGGUCGGGGAGAUGAUGCAAUUGAGUUGUUUGAGCUGAUGCUUCGACAAAGGAUGAGACCAAACCAUGUCACUUUUCUUGCUGUUUUAUCUGCUUGUAGCUAUUCUGGUUUAUCAGAGCAUGGGUGGGAAAUUUUUCAAGCUAUGGGUAGAGAUUACACGGUAAAGCCACGGGCAAUGCACUACGCAUGUAUGAUCGAAUUAUUAGGUAGAGAGGGGCUCUUAGAUGAAGCUUUUGCAUUGAUAAGAGGUGCUCCUUUCAAGCCUACAGCAAAUAUGUGGGCUGCACUAUUGACAGCUUGUCGUGUCCAUCAGAACUUAGAGCUUGGAAAAUUUGCAGCUGAGAAACUUUAUGGAAUGGAACCAGAGAAGCUUAAUAAUUACAUUGUGCUUUUGAAUAUAUACAACAGUUCUGGCAAGUUAAAGGAGGCUGC